CAAUGAUUGAGUCAGUCAUGUGUAUGUAAUAAGGCCUCCAUAAAAACCGAAGAGGAUGGGGUUUGCAGAGCUUCUAGGCUGGUGAGCACUUGGAUGUGCUGGAGGCAUCCAGAGGGUGGAGCACGUGGAGAGGGCAUGAAUGCUCAGUGCACCUUCCCUCAUACCUUGCCUUAUACAGCGUUUCCAUCUGGCUGCUGUUGAGUUUUAUUCUUUAUAACAAUAUGCUAACCCUAAGCAAAGUUUUCCUGAGUUCUGUGAGCCAUUCUAGCAAAUGGUGGAACCUGAGAAAGGGGACAUGGGAAUCUCUGACUUACAGCCAGUCAGCCCGAAGCACAGGAUACCAAAAUCAUCAUACCAGAGACAUGAAUCUCCCUCAUUUGGCAUCCCAGGAGGCCUGGAUCAGUUUCACUGUGAAUGCUCCGCCGCUCAACCACACAAGCACCCUUCCUCCAGGCCCAGGGGAUACUGCAGAAGAG
ensembl:lncRNA novel transcript